GGCAAGAUCUCGGCUUACUACAAGCUCCGCCUCCGGGGUUCACGCCAUUCUCCUGCCUCAGCCUCCAGAGUAGCUGAGACUACAGGCGCCCGACAGCACGCCCGGCUAAUUUUUGUCAUAUUUUUUAGUAGAGACGGGGUUUCACCAUGUUAGCCAGGAUGGUCUUGAUCUCCUGACCUCGUGAUCCGCCCACCUCGGCCUCCCAAAGUGCAGGGAUUACAGGCGUGAGCCACCGCGCCCAGCCAAAAUUUAAUUUUUAAUUAAACAAUUAAUAUAUGAAUAUUUUCCUUGGAAAAAAGGAAAAUAUAGAUGACACAAAAGUUCCUAUGAUUACCACUUCCAAUCUCACUCCCCUAAUUCUUUUCUGGAAGUGACCACAAUUCUUUUUUUUUUUUUUUGAGACAGAGUCUUGCUCUGGUGCCAGGCUGGAGUGCAGUGGUGCGAUCUCAGCUCACUGAAACCUCCGCCUCUUAGGUUCAAGCGAUUCUUGUGCCUCAGCCUCCCGAGUAGCUGGGAUUAAGGCACACGCCACCACACCCAGCUAAUUUUUGUAUUUUUAGUAGAGAUGGGGUUUCACCAUGUUGGCCAGGAUGGUUUCGAUCUCCUGACCUCGUGAUCCACCGGCCUCAGCUUCCCAAAGUGUUGGGAUUACAGGCGUGAGUCAACGUGCCUGGAUGUAACAGUUCUCAGUUUAGCAGUUAUCCUUCCAGUUCUUUUUCAAUUGAUCUGUGCUUUUUAACCCAUAAAAAUAGGAUAGAUAGUAGUAUCUGUCUCACAGGAAAAGAACAGAAGUGAAAUGCAAAGUGGGUAAUGUUUUCCUUUUUCUCGUUCCUAAGAGCUGAGACCUACUGCAGAAACACAGCUGUACAGUACAUUCAAGCUGAAGAAAAGAAAAUCUUUUUUAUUUCCAAGGGUGGAAUUAUCUGCCCUUGGUAUUAUCUAAUACCUUGUAUUUUAAAAUAUAAGUUUUUUGUUUUCCAAAAAACUCAACAGACAUCACACACAGAUUUUACAGUAGGUACAAGCUCUAGCCUGGCACACAACACAGCCAGCGUCUUGGACAGGGGUCUGCCAGAGGAGGGUAGCAAAAGCCAAAAGCCCAGAAAGUAUUCUGCUUCCUUUGUCCUCUUCCAUUUUAGCCAGGCAAGGAGCAUUCUGUGUCUUAUAUCUUCUUUUCCCUGUGGCGUUCAUUUCCAAUUGCAGAAAGGAGGUCAUAUGACCAGAUUCUUUCCUUAAACAGCUUUCCAGCUGAGUACAACAAAGACAAAACAAAGCAACCCUGCUCCUCCACAAUUCUGCUCUUCCAUCACUCUACAUGGCAGGAGAAACUCCCACAAUAGCUUUUUCCUACUGUCAGAGAGGAAGCAUAAACCAAGAUUUCCAAAGGCACCACUGGUUGGUUCCCAGGUGCCCUAGAGUAGGAUUUUUAUUUUAUUUUACUUUAUUAUUUUUUUUUUGAGAUGAGGUCUUAUUAUGUUGCCCAGGCUGGUCUUGAACUCCUGGUCUCAACAAAUCCUCCUGCCUCAGCCUCUGAGUAGCUGGGAUUAUAGGCACUCGCCUCCACACCUGGCUCUAGGAUUUUAUUUUAGCAUAAAACCAAAUUCCACUUUGCUAGCCAUGAUACAAGUUUCUUUUUGAGACGGAGUCUCAUUCUGUCGCCCAGGCUGGAGUGCAGUGGCAUGAUCUCGGCUCACUGCAACCUCUGCCUCCCGGGAUCGAGCAAUUCUCCUGCCUCAGCCUCCCGAAUAGCUGGGAUUACAGGCGCCCACCACCACGCUAGACUGAUUUUUGUAUAUUUUAGUAUAGACAGGGUUUCACCAUGUUGGUCAGGCUGGUCUCGAACUCCUGACCUCAAGUAAUUCACCUGCCUCAGCCUCCCAAAGUGCUGGGAUUACAGGCGUGAGCCACCCUGCCCGGCCCCUCUUUUUGUAUAUCUAAUUUAAUUCUAACAAAAACAUAUAAGGUUUUUAGUUUAGUUUUUGAGACAGGCUGUUGCCCAGGCUGGAGUGCAGUGGUGUAGAUAUGGCUCACUGCAGCCUUGACCUCCUGGGCUCAAGGGAUCCUCCUGCUUCAGCCUCUGGUACAGCUGGGACCACAGUGCGUGCCACCACACCUGGCUAAUUUUUAAGGUUUUUUUGUAGAGAUGGGGCCUUACUCUGUAGCCUAGGCUGGUCUCAAACUUCUGGGCUCAAGUGAUCCUCCCAUCUUGGCCUCCCAAAAUGCUGGGAUUGUGGGCAUAAGGCACCACGCCCAGCCCAGCCCAUAUAAGGUUUUUUUUGUUUGUUUGUUUGGUUUUUUUGUUUUUUUUUUUUUAAAGACAGAGUUUUGCUCUGUUGCCCAAGCUGGGGUGCAGUGGCACGAUCUCAGCUCACUACAACCUCUGCCUCCUGGGUUCAAGCGAUUCUCCUGCCUCAGCGUCUCGAGUAGCUGAGAUUACAGGUGUGCACCACCACGCCCAGCUAAUUUUUGUAUUUUUAGUAGAGACAGGUUUUCACCACAUUGGCCAGGCUGGUCCUGAACUCCUGACCUCAAGUGAUCCACCUGUCUUGGCCUCCCAAAGUGCUGGGAUUACAUGCUUGAGCCACUGCACCUGGCCCCAUAUAGAGUUUUUAUUGUCAUUAUUCCCAUAUUACAGAUGAAGGGACUAAGGCUCAAAGGGUAAAUAAGUCUGUUCUUAAAUAGUGACUUCCUGAGACACAGGAGAUGUUUAAGAACAGUACUGGUAGGUGGGAAGUGGCAUUUUGGAGCAGGAGUGAGAAGCAUGAAAAUGUAGCAAGAAUAGAAAAGGGUGGGAAAACAGCAAAUUAAGAGGAAGAAAAAUGCAGGUCCUAGCAAGAAUUGCUACUCACCACUGCCAGAGUCUGGGCCAUGUUCUAGGUGUGUAUUUAAACAAAUCUCCAUAGCAACCAUCUGGUUUCUGUUUUUCUAUGACAACACGGGCUUGCAUUUCUAAAUACAAGCACUGGUGAGGACAAGUGUGGGCUGGGGAAGGGAAGUGGGACCGCUGAGUCAAGGGGAAAUUGCGCAAAAAAGGCAAAGGUUCUCUUGGUAUGCCCUCAUCUAUCCCCUCCCAGCACACCCUCAAGGAAGGGGUCUUUCCUUGACUCACAGCAGUCAUUGUUAAGAGCUGAGCCUUGUAUGCACUUUGUCUUUUGUUUUGGAGACAGAGUCUGGCUCUGUCACCCAGGCUGGAGUGCGGUGGUGUAAUCUUUGCUUACUUAAACCUCUUCCUCCGAAGUUCAAGCAAUUCUCUUGCCUCAGCCUCCCGAGUAGCUGGGACUACAGGCGCCUGCCACCACUCAGUUAAUUUUUAAUUUUUUUGUAGAGACAAGGUCUCACUACAUCGCCCAGCCUGGUCUCAAACUCCUGGGCUGAAGAAUUCCUCGUGCCUCGGCCUCUCAAAAUGCUGGCAUUACAGGUGUGAGCCACUGUGGCCAGCCCAUGAUAUCUUAUUUUUACCAAUUAUGUAAAUUCCUAUCUAAUUAGGGUAUACCCUUGGUGCAAGAGGGGGAAGGGUAGAUGCUUUUGCUUCUCAUUUUCAACCCAGGUGGCACUUUUGGAGAUACUGAGGGUAGAGAGAGGUUGGAGGAUCUCAUCUGAUAAAGGUGUGGUAGCCCCAGAAAGAAAGGUGAGAAAAAGGCAGCUAGGCAUGGAGAUGCAGGAAUAAGAAUAGAUACUGCCAUGAGGACUAAGUGGGCCCAGACCUGAGUUAAAACAGCCCCCCAUCCCCGCUUUUUUUUUUUUUUUUUUUGAAAUGGAGCCUCUCUCUGUCACGCAGGCUGGAGUGCAGUGGCGCGAUCUCGGCUCACUGCAAGCUCCACCUCCCGGGGUUCAUGCCAUUCUCCUGCCUCAGCCUCCCGAGUAGCUGGGACUACAGACGCAUGCCACCAUGCCCAGCUAAUUUUUGUAUUUUUAGUAGAGAUGGGGUUUCACUGUGUUAACCAGGAUGGUCUCGAUCUCCUGACCUCGCCAUCCGCCCGCCUUGGCCUCCCAAAGUGCUGAGAUUACAGACGCGAGCCAUCACGCCCAGCUGGAACCAUGUUUUACGCACUUUUGUAGUCCCUGAAGUAAGGCCUUUACAAGCCUUAUCUUGCUUAAUCAUCACAACCACCCUCAUGGUAGGUACCAUGUCGUUACUAUUAUGCAAGUAAGUAAAUUGAGGCAGAGAGUUAAAGAAAC
rnacentral:lncRNA from 1 species